rnacentral:rRNA from 1 species
UACGUAGGUGGCAAGCGUUGUUCGGAAUUAUUGGGCGUAAAGGGUCCGUAGGCGGUCCGGCAAGUCAGAUGUGAAAUCCCACAGCUCAACUGUGGAACUGCAUUUGAAACUCCCGGACUAGAGUGUGAGAGGGGUUAAGGGAAUUCCCGGUGUAAGGGUGAAAUCUGCAGAGAUCGGGAGGAACACCAGUCGCGAAGGCGCUUAACUGGCUCACUACUGACGCUCAGGGACGAAAGCUAGGGUAGCAAACGGG